rnacentral:rRNA from 1 species
UACGGAAGGCAGCAGUGGGGAAUAUUGCACAAUGGGCGCAAGCCUGAUGCAGCCAUGCCGCGUGUAUGAAAAAGGCCUUCGGGUUGUAAAGUACUUUCAGUCGUGAGGAAGGUGUUAAGGUUAAUAACCUUAGCAAUUGACGUUAGCGACAGAAGAAGCACCGGCUAACUCCGUGCCAGCAGCCGCGGUAAUACGGAGGGUGCGAGCGUUAAUCGGAAUUACUGGGCGUAAAGGGCACGCAGGCGGUUAAUUAAGUUGGAUGUGAAAUCCCCGGGCUUAACCUGGGAAUGGCAUUCAAGACUGGUUAGCUAGAGUCUUGUAGAGGGGGUUAGAAUUCCAUGUGUAGCGGUGAAAUGCGUAGAGAUGUGGAGGAAUACCGGUGGCGAAGGCGGCCCCUGGACAAAGACUGACGCUCAUGUGCGAAAGCGUGGGGAGCAAACAGGGAUUAGAUACC